UCUAUUGGCCAAUGCCGGCCUGCGUCAUUCUGACGAGCCAAGCGCCCCUUCUGCACAUGCGUGAACCGCCAUCACCGGCCGACUCGCAUCCGGGAUUCAUGCAGGGCAUGAAGAACCCGGAAAUAAUGGCGCGCGACACCUGGGGAAUGGGGAGUCUGUGUUGGAGACUUAGCCCUUAGCCGAGCCCAGCUGACCCAAAACUCAACUGGCUGGAGGUCCCUGGCCCCAGGGGAGCUUUCUUCUCUGUUCCGGUAGCAGGUGCUCUCAAAGCAGGAUGUCUGUGUGUCAGGUGCAGGCCUAAGGGCUGGAGCUGGAGCACAGGUGGAUCAGCUAAGACAGCUGGACUGUGUUCCCCAGGGCACUGUGUCAGCAAAGCUGGUGUCUGACAAGGGAAGCGAACAGCUCCAGAGAGCCCCUCUCUCCACUCCAAGCUCAGAAGGCUGUUAAGGAGCUACGGCCAGGAGUCCCACCGAGACUGUGCGCCCCUAAGCCACCCUUCCUGGGAGGGUGACGAGCCAGGGGCAUGUGCUGUGCCCUAGAUCCUUCAGGACAGAGUCUCAGAUGUGAGCCCUGCAGGCUUAAAAAUAAACUGACGCAG